UCUCUUUCUUAGUUGCAAAAAAUUCUCUGCAGCUGGGCUGCACCUCAAUGAAUGAAUUGGUGCACUGUGAGCGACCAUCAUCUACCCACUGGAUUUCCAUUGCACCCGGCUUUCAUCCCGAACAUAUGAAUUUGCUUAGACAGACCCUUUUAAGGAGUUGAACAGAUAGGUCGGUGAAAAUGGCACAGCGCGUGGUUUUCUUUCUACUGUGGCUCUUAGACCAGUCAUUCGCCGGAUUUCCCAACCAGAUAAAUAUCGGGGGACUGUUCAUGCGUUCCACGGUGCAGGAGCACAGCGCGUUCAGGUUCGCUGUCCAACUCUACAACACCAACCAAAACACCACUGAAAAGCCUUUCCACCUCAACUACAAUGUCGACAACCUGGAAUCGUCGAACAGCUUCUCAGUCACUCACGCAUUUUGCUCCCAGUUCUCCCGCGGGGUGUACGCCAUCUUCGGAUUCUACGACAAGAAGUCCAUGAACACCUUGACCUCGUUCUGUGGCGCGCUGCACACCUCCUUCGUCACACCCAGUUACCCCACCGAUAACGAGGUGCAGUUUGUCAUCCAGAUGCGGCCUGCCCUCCGGGGCGCCGUCCUCAGCCUGCUCUCUCACUACAAGUGGCAGAAGUUUGUCUACCUCUACGACACCGACCGAGGUUUCUCUAUACUGCAGGCCAUCAUGGAGGCAGCCGUAGCCAACAACUGGCAGGUGACCGCUCGCUCUGUUAGCGGCACGACGGACGCAGCGGAGUUCAAGCGCAUCAUUGAGGAGAUGGACAGGAGGCAAGAGAAGCGCUACGUGAUCGACUGCGAGGUGGACAGGAUCAACACUAUAUUAGAACAGGUUGUGACCCUGGGAAAGAACAGCCGUGGUUACCACUACAUUCUGGCCAAUCUUGGAUUUUCGAACGUGAGCCUGGACAAAGUCUUCGCCGGUGGAGCCAACAUUUCAGGGUUUCAGAUAGUCAAUCCAGAGAACCCGAUUGUGCAGCAGUUUAUGCAGCGCUGGGAGCGUCUAGAUGAAAGAGAAUUCCCAGAAGCCCGAAACUCUCCUCUGAAGUACACUUCAGCCCUGACCCACGACGCCAUCCUGGUGAUCGCAGAGGCCUUCAGGUACCUGCGGCGCCAGCGCGUGGACGUCUCUCGCCGAGGCAGCGCCGGAGACUGUCUGGCCAACCCCGCUGUACCUUGGAGCCAAGGCAUAGACAUCGAGAGAGCCCUCAAAACGGUCCAAGUUCAGGGCAUGACAGGGAACAUCCAGUUUGACAACUAUGGCCGCAGGACCAAUUACACCAUAGAUAUUUACGAGAUGAAAACCGGCGGGCCGAGGAAGAUCGGGUACUGGAACGAGUACACACGAUUUGUAAAUAUUAUGGACCCGCAGGUCUCCAACGACUCCUCAGUGGAAAAUCGAACGAUUGUGGUCACUACUAUUAUGGAAGCCCCUUAUGUGAUGUACAAGAAAAAUUAUUUGCAUCUGGAGGGGAAUGACAGAUAUGAAGGCUACUGCGUCGAUUUAGCAUCUGAGAUUGCCAAACAUGUUGGAAUUAAGUACAAACUGUCUAUAGUAAUGGAUGGAAAGUACGGAGCCCGAGACCCUGAGACCAAGACGUGGAACGGGAUGGUGGGUGAACUGGUCUACGGGAGAGCAGAUAUAGCCGUUGCACCUCUCACCAUUACUCUGGUUCGAGAGGAGGUGAUAGACUUUUCCAAGCCCUUUAUGAGCUUGGGCAUCUCCAUUAUGAUAAAGAAGCCGCAAAAGUCCAAGCCCGGCGUUUUCUCCUUCCUGGACCCGCUGGCCUAUGAGAUCUGGAUGUGUAUAGUGUUUGCCUAUAUUGGGGUGAGCGUGGUCCUGUUCCUGGUCAGUCGGUUCAGUCCUUAUGAGUGGAACCUCGAGGAACAGGAUGAGACCAAAGACCCCCAGACCCCCCCUGAUCCUCCCAAUGACUUUGGCAUCUUCAAUUCCCUCUGGUUCUCUCUGGGCGCCUUCAUGCAGCAGGGCUGUGACAUCUCCCCCAGGUCUCUGUCAGGCCGUAUCGUCGGCGGCGUUUGGUGGUUCUUCACCCUCAUCAUCAUCUCUUCCUACACGGCCAACCUGGCUGCUUUCCUGACAGUGGAGAGAAUGGUCUCUCCCAUAGAAAGUGCCGAAGAUCUAGCCAAGCAGACAGAGAUAGCAUAUGGCACUCUGGACUCAGGCUCCACGAAAGAGUUUUUUAGGCGAUCCAAAAUAGCAGUGUACGAGAAGAUGUGGUCGUACAUGAAAUCUGCCGAACCGUCUGUGUUUGUUAAGACCACACCCGACGGCGUAGCCCGGGUACGAAAGUCAAAGGGCAAGUUUGCCUUUCUCCUUGAAUCCACCAUGAACGAGUACAUCGAGCAGCGGAAGCCAUGCGACACCAUGAAAGUGGGGGGGAACCUCGACUCGAAAGGCUACGGUGUGGCGACGCCCAAAGGCUCUGCAUUAAGAAAUGCUGUUAACCUGGCAGUUUUAAAACUGAAUGAGCAAGGCCUCUUGGACAAAUUGAAAAACAAAUGGUGGUACGACAAGGGAGAGUGCGGCAGCGGGGGAGGUGACUCCAAGGUCAGCCUCGAUGUCACCACAAUCGGGUACCAUAGUGCAGAGUAAUCGGCAAUGCUGUUACAACAACCCAACCACAACCAAGCCAACUGUCCGCCCCGACAACCUGCUGCUGCCGCCUCAAAGGCAGACUGGCAAACUCACCCGAUAGUCUGACCAGAUGGUUUCAACAGCUAAGACCGAUCUAAGGAGCCCUGUCUUAACCAACAGAAAUGUAUUUACUGGAGGCGUAGAAAGAGGCGUUGAGGUGUGAACGUGGUUGCCCUGCAUUUGUGAAAGGUUGAGCUUUGUUUAUUCACCCUUACACAUGUGCAGGGCAGAUCACUAGUUGUAGCUGUUAAAGGUGUUACCCAGGUAGCUUCCGUAGUUUGAGUGAAACCACUUGAUGAGGUAGAUGAAGUAGCUGAAGAAGAGAUACUCUUUUCCACUGACGUUGUAGCACAGGCCAAAAUCCCCAAACCUCCCUCGUGAAGGUGAGGUUUGCUAAUCCUGUCAAAUAUGGCUUUGCAGUACUUCAAUGCACGGCUGCUUCAGAUCCAUGACACUGGCCCAGAACCUAUGAGCUUAAUAGCCAAUUCUCCUUAAUGACGAAUAAAAAAAAAAAAAAAGAAGAAGAAGCUGCUCAGCCGAGGCCAACAGGAGAGCAAGGGGAACAGCGGCGUCUUGAGGGGACUAAGCAUUGCAGGCACACGUGAGAAUUCUAAUUAAACAAAAGAUUGUUUCUAACGGGUGAUCCCAUAAACCACCUGUGGUUUGAUUGCACCACGUGCACUUCCCACCUCAAAUCAUUAAUAACCCAGCUGUGACCCUUUUGUACAUCACAUCUCGCCACCGUUUUUCUGCGGUUAAAUGAUGAAUGAUUUUCCCAUUAGGGCGGCUAAUGGUGCAGAGUGUGAAACCCCGCUCGACUGUGACAACUUCGUAUAAUGCUACUUUGAUUGUGUGCCACAAAGAAUUGUUACAUUUGCAAUGACAUUACGCAUAGACGGGAGAAUUGUCUUCUUUACAAUGCAGGCGAAUUUCACGGCAGGUUUUGUUGUCAGCGCACAUGUCAUGAUAGAGUUAUAUGGUAUCUGGUUAGCUUACAGACAACCGUUUUGACCAUAGUGAACAAUGAAGAAGCGAGAGCCUGCACAAAGCACCUACCACAUAAUGUUUUAGUACAUGCUGAAAAUGUUUAAAAGUCCCAUUUUGUAAUGUUGUUAAAUGCUAACACUGUUAUGUUUUGUAGUCACUGAGCUCAGGAACCCUCCACCGUGCUACUGCUAGAGCAUUUGAAAGCAUCUGUCUCUUGCGCGGCUAUCGAUCUAUUGCCAUGCACAGGUAUGUACCGUCUGUCGGUUUCCUGGCUUGUUUUGGCUCUCCAGGACUCAGUGGGAAGGCCCGAUUAGGUGGAAUAAAGCGGCCUGGAGCGUUGUGUUCCAAACAGCGGAGCGCUUGGCCUGGUCCUGCUCACAACUCAGUGUUCCAACAGACGUCAGGAGGCGCACGUGAUCGUGCGCGCGGCUGCACGCACGUCCACUCACACUCAGUCACCGCCGCGCCUCCUUGCCCUGAGGCACAACACGGUGCGGCCUAGAUUGAGUUUCAGACACAGAGCAUGUUACAGGGUAAUUGCAUUGUUAAUCAAUGUCUCUCCAAGCCAAGACAAUGGUCUGGUCUUCACAGUCCAUUUCCCCAGAUUGGCUAUGAGGGAUAUACAGUGGUGUAAUCUUCUCUUAGUGCAUUAUGCAUUGCAUGGAUCCCCUUGCGGGACAUUGUUCCCAGGGAGUAGUCAGGUCAGUCAUUUAUCGACGCGCCUGUGUUUCUUUGUUUCCAAUUUGCUUUUUUGCUUUCACAGAUUGACUUAAACGACAAACGCUCUGCCGCUGUAUUAUGCCUGCAAAAUGCGAUCUUUAUCUAGCUUUGGAAUUGUUUAGCCGCUGUGUUUGAUUUUUUCUCUGAGUUAUUUAGUGCAAUAGAGUUAUAUGCUAAUUCGUGUUGACAUACAAUAUUAUAGCCAUGAUAUAACUUCUAGAGAGAUCAAACAGCGAGUAAACAUCUGUGACGAGCAUUAGAUUAGGCAGCUACGGGCGAAUACGAGAUGAAUUAUUCCACUGAUACUUUCGAGCUUAGUCCUGCAGCUCCGUGCGGUUUGGUCGGGACACACUCAUCUGACGGUAAUCUGGCGUAAUUGGAAGAUAGGGUUUUCUUGGCGUUAUGUCGGAAUACAACACGAAAGAAUUAAUUUUCACUUUCGGGGCGUAGGUGCUUGACUCGGAAAUUGGCUGCAGUACUUAAAUUGUAUGUGGAAAGGGAGAGUAUUGUUUGUGUGUUUUUUGUUUGUUAAGACAAAGCUCCUGUUGGAAUGAACUUGUUAAAAGCUGUACAAAGCCUCUGGGUCUACCUGCCCCUAAAUCAAUGUCCCUAUAUACUUUUUGAUGUUCAUAGACUUGCAGAUCGUACUUUCAGUACCUGCUUGUUGACCCGGUAACAGCGUCUGCCGAUUACUCAAAGCGAUAUGGGUAGGUCCUGGCUUUAGACUAGGGGUUAUGAAGGUAAUAGGUAGAAUGCCUGCUCUUUGUGAUGUUGCCAUAGCCAGGUGCCCUGCUUUAUCGCUUUGUAAAAUAUGUAGUAGUUUAAAAGUUGAAUAACAUAAAAUAACAUAAUAUAAUGUUAUUUAUGUUAUUUCCCACGUGAAGAACUCCUGUAAACCUUGCAGUAUUGAAACUCAGUGAACAAGGCAUCUUAGACAAGCUGAAAAACAAAUGGUGGUACGAUAAGGGUGAAUGUGGAACCAAGGACUCUGGAAGUAAGGACAAGACAAGUGCUCUCAGCCUAAGCAAUGUGGCUGGUGUCUUC